AGACUCCCAUUAGGUUUAAUCCAAGAGUAUUGUCUAAGAUUAGGAUAUGUAUCCCUCCAUAUAUCUAUCAAGGAAAAGGUGUUACAAAAAUCAAGAAAGGUACCAUUGUAAUGAGUGUCUGUGAAUUUAGUGGGAUAUCUAUCAAGAUAUUCAUCAGGUGCUAGAUUGAAAUCUCCUCCAAACAAUAUCAAAUCUGUGUGGUAUGAACUUUUAUAUUGAGAAACAACCUCUGUGAUUUCUUGUAACAGGGCCUUAUUUUGAUUGGCGUUAUUGUAACCAUAGACAUUUGUUAAGAUCAGGUAAAUAUUGUCCAUAUUAAUGACAGCUGUCAGCCAGUGACCAUUGUCAUCUGACUUAUAUGAGACUACAUUACCCGGGCACUUGUUAAAGCAGAUGGCUACUCCUGCAGAUCUGUUGCUCCCGUGGCUGAAGAGAAUUUUGUCCCCCCACUGCGUUGACCUGUAGGUGGCGUCAGAGGCACAUGAGUGAGUUUCUUGAAGAAGGACACAGUGGCUUUUAAAUCCUUUACAGUGCAAAAAAAAAAAGAAAAAGCUUUUCUUUUCACAUUGUCUUUUAAACCCCUUGUAUUGAGUGAAAUAAAACUUAAAUGGGCUUUCAGAACAUCCAUCUGCUGGAUAACCUUGCAGCAAUAAAAAAAAGAAGUUUAAGAGUAGUAAGAAGUGUCUUAAAGUGACUAAUAAACAGGUUUAUUCCCUCCUGAGAACAUUAUCCCACGUUGAAAAAAUGUGAGAGUAUACUUAGUCUUUGAAGCGCCGACCGUUGAUGUAUCCAUGUGGCCCUCGGAAAUAGGCCUUCUCCCCGGCUUGACGUGCCUGACUGAUGCGGGGCCACAGCGCUGCUCUCGCUGACCUGUCCUCCUUCGUGAGGUCUUCUGCAAGCCGAAUACCAGCGUUCUUGCAGACAUCAGAAACUUUGGUCAUUUUCCAGAACCCAUCCCUGUGUUGGCGUCUUGUGAACUGAAUGAUUCCGUUUCUCACUUUACUGUCUAACUUAGGACCAAUCCGGUGAACCGUAUCCACAAUCUCCUCCAUGUUUUGUGCCCAUUGAGGAGCUAUCUUCUUGAGGAGAUUAAUGACUUUGGCUCUGGUAUCUUCAUUCAUGGUCUCUUUCAUGCCUUUGAUCCGGAGAUUCCACCUUCUUUUAUAGCGGUCCUGUUCUCUGCAUUUUUCUUGCAGCUCAACAUUUUCAGCACGCAAUCGCUCCAAGUCUUUCUCCAUCACAGAUACUCUGCCUUUGCAAUCCUUGAUUUCAGACGCAUUAAAUUCGACUGCUUUCGAGAGGCUAGCAAGCAUUGCACAGUUCUGUGUUAGCUUAGUGUCCAUGUUUUCCAUUUUCGUUUCUAGUGUAUCAAAUCUCUUAUUCAACAAGUUUAUUGCAGCAAGAAUAGCAGAACUUGGAACUUCCUCUUCAUUUGACUUUGACAUUUUGCGAACAUGUUCAGCUUUUAUUUUGCAGUAAUGAUGAAGAAGACACAUUUAAGCAUAAAUAUAUGUUUUUUCCACCUCUGUCAUUAUCGCAUGUGGCCACUGGAGGGCGACAGAGACAGCCACCCUUACUGGGCGCUAAAUUCAAAACACAUCCUUAUGACAGUGAGUGUUCUGAAUGAUGAUGAUGAAGAUGAUGGGGAUCUAUGAAAACUUUGGAGACCCUUCUGCCUCAGUCAGACUCCGCUGACCAACAGUUUCCAUAUCAACAUCAACUCACCAGAGAAAAGACUCCACUGCAGUUAAAUAACAGCACGUUUCCACGAGUAGUUGAAGCCUUUAGAUAACAGAAAUCUUACGAGAUCAUUUUGGGUUUGUUAUUACUGAUUGUUUAUUUUUUAUUUAUCGGUUUGAGAAAUGUUUGGACAUUUUGGACAACAAUAUUCAAGUGUUGACUUCAUCUCAUAUCAGGAAGCCCACUGUGAGUUUCAUAAAAUGUCUUUUCCUGCAUCAGUUGUGAAAAUCUUUAUUUUCUGCAGCCAGGUCAGAACACAGCAGCUGGACUUCAACGUCAUUUAACAGGAACGAGCAUUUAACUCUUGUUAACUUCCUUAAAUUGUCUUCCAGCUGCAGAGUUCAGACCUGAGUUUAAGGUUUACUGGUUGGUUUUGAAGCUAGAGCAGCUGGAGCUCAGUUUCAUGUCUCUGUGUACAGAAGAACUCAUUUUAAUUCACUUCCAUUUAGCAUUGUUGUUGACUAUUUGUUGGGAUGUGUAUGUGUCAUGGUUUUGGGUUUGUGUUGUUAUUUCCUGUUUUAUUUUGGUAAGCAUUCUCCCUCAUGUGUCUUGUGUAGUUUUACUUCCUCCUGGUGAUUCGUUUGCUUGUCCUUAUUGGUUCCACCUGUGUCUCGCUGUCUCCCCUACCAGAGUGCAUUUAGUCUGUGUCCUUCCUUUGCUCGGCAUUUGGGUCCCCUUUUGAUCUGAACGUGACAGUAUGUGUUUGGCUUGAAUGGGUUUUCAGCUUUAAUGGAGUCAGUAACAGUCUUCUCUUUAUUAUAUCUGAUAACAAUAUAAUCUGCAAAUAAAGAAAUGUUUACCACUUAAUUCUACACUGUGUUUUGGGAUUCCUUCAUGUACUAACAGUGUCAUAAUGGAAAGUGAAUAUUGUUUCCUAUGAAUGUCCCGCCUCUACUAGUAGCACAACCUCCCUCCUCUUGUCCACUUCUAGUAGUAAACCUUCCCUCUGUUGGGUUGAACAGCUCUGUUCUCACUGGGAACUCAAAUGUGUCUAAAUACAGAUAGAAAUGCAGCCAAAGUGAGCUGAGCAUGCACAGAAAUCUAAUAACUCAGGCUACUUUCAGAGGCUUUGGAUGCACACGACCACCUACUCUGACCUAAUGUGAAUGUAAAUACAUUUCACACAUCUAUUUAUGCCAAACCAUUUCCUGUGAAAACAACAGGAACAGACCUGCUGCUACAUAUUGUGGAGGCCUGACGCUCUACGUCCCGGCAGUUAAAGACGGUUCAGUCUGGACGCUCAUCAAUGUUUUAACCCUUUGCUGCAACGAGUCUCAGUGACCCCAAACCUUCCAGGGGUUAAAGUAGUUUCCAAAAGAAUUCGAUAAGCGCCUCUUUGUCUCGUGUCCUAAUAAAGUGUGGACUGUCUGUUCCUGUGAGCCUCGUGUUUCUGACGUUUAUCUGGUCAUCAUUAGAGGGUAACACCUCCAGAGCUCUGCUGCUGCUGUUAACCACAUUCUCAUCUAAACACUUCCCCUUCAGCUCUCUGAGAAAAAGUAACUGAAGUCUUUUCUAAUAAACACUAUCUGAAGAAAACAAGUUGCAUUAUUGCAAACAUUUAUCUUAACUAACAAUCUUCACACCUUCGACUUCCUCUUCUUCUUCUCUUCGGGAGGUGAAACACUUCAUUGCCACAAAUACACAGCGGGACUGGACACAGUGUGAACUUUCACAGGAUCUUUGUCAGGCUGCUGCGACCUCUGACCUCUGACAUCUUUACUGAUGGCUGCAUCUCAUAUUGCUGAUCAAGAAUUUGGGGUCGCUGUCAGUCACUGUGGAUGAGACAAAACUACAUUUCAAAAAUGUCAAAGUGAAAAGAGUUUUUGGCUGUUUGGACAUUGACAAGAAAUUCUAAGAAAUAGAAAUCUAAAACAGACUAAAAGUCACUCUGAGGAAGUGACAUCAUACUAACCACAGGAAGUAGAUGCAGCAUCGCUCUACUAAAGCACUACUUUAGAGACUCAGACAGUUGUGAGCACGAGAACAAGAGACAGAAGAAGGAGAGAGACAGAGAAUCACGAUGGCUGAGUUCAAAUGGAUUUCUUUAUUUCUUAUAGCGGUGCUUCAGUUCACAGCAGCAGCUGAAAGACUUCCCCUCUCCUUCACUGUCAGAGUUGGAGAUGAAGUCACUUUGCCUUGUGAAAAUGUGACAGACAGUCAGCGAAAAUGUGACGGUACUACAUGGCUCUUCUUUGGUUCAGGAAACACAGCAGCAGUAGAUCUUAUUUAUCUUGGGCAGAUUGUUGAAAGAGCCAAAGCUCAAUCAGACAGACUGAGUGUUACAGCGAGCUGUUCUCUGGUUAUAAAGAACGUCACAGUCGAGGAUGUUGGUCGUUACUCCUGCAGACAGUUCAGAUCAGGAGACAAACAAGGUCCAGAUUCUGUGGUUCUUCUGUCUGUUGUUACCAUGACUGAACAUAAGGACACUGAUAAGGUGACGUUAAACUGCUCUGUGUCGACAUUUGAACCAUGUGGACGCACAGUGAAGUGGCUGUAUGAGGGUAAAGAUGUGGCUAAAGAUAACAAAGACUUGCUGACAUCACAGUCUCUCUGCAGAGCCUCUGUGAGCUUCCUGACUUCUCAUUACAGUCACACAUCGAGGUCUAACUUCCUUACAUGUGAAGUGACUGUUGGUAACAAAGUGCAGCUGUUUCCCUUCAGACUUCGGCCCUCAGGUGAGAAACCAGGUGAGGACACAACAACAGCAACAACUGAAUCAACAACAACAGCAACAGAAACAACAACAACAACUAAAUCAACAACUAAAUCAACAACAACUGAAAACAGCAGAAAAGCAGGUAUCACCACGACAGCGUCUGCAAUCAAUGAUGCUUCAACAGAACAAAAAGGUUGGUGGUGGUUGUACAUCAUUGUGGCUGUGGUUUUAGCUGCACUUUUAGUAAUCGCUGUAGCUGUCAUCAGAUGGAAGAGAACUAAAGGGAACAAAACACGGAUGAAUGACACUGUUGUGAGUUUAAAAACUGUUCUUCACUAUACAUUUUGAGUCUAUAGCUGAGAAAGGAUAAGACGAGAUAAACAGUACCGACUGUGUUGGAUUAAAACUACGCUGUUGCAGCAGCAAAGGUCAAGGAAGUGAUUGUGAGGAAAAGCAAAAAGGGGCCCAAAGCUCAUUUUUACUUUGCUAAUCCAGCCAUGAACACCUUCAAUUACAGCCUCUGAAACGCUGACAGAGUUGAAUCAACUCCUCUGUGACACAGUGUCAACACAAACACAACAUUAUCGGCUUCAUGGACGCAGUAUUUGUGGUGGUUGUAUUGGAUUGCAUGUCAAGUCAAACUGAAUUCAUCCGCUGGACUGAAGUUGUAGAUCUGAAGAUGUUUUGACAGUCCCAUCACACUACCUGUACCUGAAGCCUGCACAGAUGUGCUGCAUACGUUGCACAGGUGCUGUUCGGACUGUGCCCUGACAACAUGUGCAUUAACUGAACUGUAACAUGCUUGGUGACCAAAUGUGUUUUGCUGCAGGAGCUGACCUCAAACCCUGCAGUGACUCAGUCGGAAACCAGAAACCCGUCAACGUUGCUUGCAUUUGUUCUCUGAAAUAUAACUGUAUUUUACUGUCGGUACAGUCCUGAGAGCGUGAGAGUGUGCGAGAAAGAUAAAAAGGGAAGUUAGAAGAUGCAACUGGACUACACCAGAAGAGAACAUGAGAGUCAAACAGUGGGUUGUAAAACCAGGGUCAGAGGCCAAACCGCCACCAAAAAAACUACUAUACAACAUUUUGCGACAUCGUUUGAAAGAGACAUAACACGACCUUCUGGGCAGAAGUAACACAAUCUGAAAUGCUGACUGUGAUAAAAUAGAACGGGAUAAAGUUAGAAGAGCGAGUCAGUAUUAAUCCGCAUGUUACUGAGCCGCCAUCAUGUUGUCUUCUCUGUGUAGGCUGAUCCUGAAGAUGGUGUUUCCUACGCCUCCGUCAGCUACACCAGGAAGACCAAGAACAGUAAAGCCCGGGUAAGCUGUCUGAUCGGCUGUACUUGUGAUAUCAGUGAAUGAAGAAGAAACGUUUUCAGGAACGUCUCCCUUUUCACAUUCAAGUGCAUCAGUUUGUCCAACCCUUUGCUUGUGCGUUGUGUUGUACUGUGUUACAUUGUGUUCUAAUCUGCUGUGUUGGUGUGAUGAUGUUGUUUUGCAUGUUGUCACAUUGUCUGAUGUGUCGCUUUGUGUUGUUUUGCACGUCGUGUUGCACUGAGCUGCAGUGCACUGCGUUGGGUUAUGUUGUGUUUUACUGUUGGAUACCGUUAAUGCUCCUUCGCACUGUUGUCUUUUAUAGCGUGGUAGUGCGUGUCAUAUCCUGUUUCUUUAUUUAUAUUGUGCUGUUUCC